rnacentral:lncRNA from 1 species
UCAGAUCGUACCUUUCUACAUAAAACAAAGCCUUUCCGACGUUUCGACACUCCGUGGCCUUUUCUUGGCCGGGCUCUUAGGUGCUACCACAAGCACCGUGUCAUCUAUAGUGAACUCUCACGCAGCGACAUUUUACAUCGACGUAGUUGGAUUGUACUUCAAGUUCAGUGAGCGCACUGCAGUAAACGUCAUGCGCUUGUUAGCGUUCGCAAGCGGAACCGUAAUGACCUUGUUUGCCAUCGCCGUCCCAAUGAUGGGUACAGCCACGCAGUUGUUCCUGUCGCUGUACGCAUCGGCCUCUGGUCCGUUCGUUGGGCUCAUCCUGCUAGCCAUAUCCUCUCCAUGGGUAAAUGCAGAAGGCGCUGCUUGGUCCAGCAUGGUGGUCUGCUUGUUACAGUUGUGGCACGC